rnacentral:rRNA from 1 species
GGGCUAACACAUGCAAGUCGAACGGCAGCACAGGAGAGCUUGCUCUCUGGGUGGCGAGUGGCGGACGGGUGAGGAAUACAUCGGAAUCUACUCUGUCGUGGGGGAUAACGUAGGGAAACUUACGCUAAUACCGCAUACGACCUACGGGUGAAAGCAGGGGACCUUCGGGCCUUGCGCGAUUGAAUGAGCCGAUGUCGGAUUAGCUAGUUGGCGGGGUAAAGGCCCACCAAGGCGACGAUCCGUAGCUGGUCUGAGAGGAUGAUCAGCCACACUGGAACUGAGACACGGUCCAGACUCCUACGGGAGGCAGCAGUGGGGAAUAUUGGACAAUGGGCGCAAGCCUGAUCCAGCCAUACCGCGUGGGUGAAGAAGGCCUUCGGGUUGUAAAGCCCUUUUGUUGGGAAAGAAAUCCAGCUGGCUAAUACCCGGUUGGGAUGACGGUACCCAAAGAAUAAGCACCGGCUAACUUCGUGCCAGCAGCCGCGGUAAUACGAAGGGUGCAAGCGUUACUCGGAAUUACUGGGCGUAAAGCGUGCGUAGGUGGUUAUUUAAGUCCGUUGUGAAAGCCCUGGGCUCAACCUGGGAACUGCAGUGGAUACUGGACGACUAGAAUGUGGUAGAGGGUAGCGGAAUUCCUGGUGUAGCAGUGAAAUGCGUAGAGAUCAGGAGGAACAUCCAUGGCGAAGGCAGCUACCUGGACCAACAUUGACACUGAGGCACGAAAGCGUGGGGAGCAAAACAGGAUUAGAUACCUGGUAG